GCUAAAACUUUGAAUUUCAUCCAAAUCAGGCUAUCCACAUCCAAUCCAGUCACUUUUUGGACAGAAUGGAAAGACCUUUCCGAGAAUAUAUGACAUGUGGGGGUGCUCAGUUCUACUAUAUUGUGUAUGUUUUGAGGUGUUUUUUAUAUUGCACUUUCUGUGUCCAAGAGAUGAUUAGUUAAACCGAGAGCUGACUCAAUUAUCAGGU